CCUAGAACAUUGAGGUGAAGAACGAAAGAUUAUUCCUAGAACAUUCAGGUGAAGAAUGGAAUAUGAUGCAUGGUUGUACCUGUGGUUACUUGAUGUUGUGUGAUGCCAUUUUGUGAGAAACUAAGACUAAGAAAUGAUGCAGUGUUACUGCUCCAGUCUGCGUGGUGCUCGGGUCUUCAGUCUCUGGGCGUUGUGUCACCUUGUCUUGCAUGAGGUGCGAUGUAAUAAGUUUCUUGCUGGGUCAGUGAACCGAGUUUCUGAACCUUGCAUCUCCUUGAUGUUCUGUGGAUGUUGUUUCAAGGUGCUGAUACCUCUUUUCUUUAAUGUAGGUGCAACUGUUAUUGGUCUAUACUUGAAUCUUGAAUCUGAGAGCCUGAAUCAAAGGGUUGGGCAAUAGCCGGUUAUCUAAAAAAAAAAAUGUUGUGCGAUUGCUAUGAUAUGCACUUGUGAAUCUGAGAGAUUAUUUGGUGAUGUGAGAAUUUGAGAGAUUGUUUGGUGACGUGCACUUUUUUUAUGUCAUUUUGUUAGAAUCUAAAAGAUGAUUUGAUGUUGUGCACUUGUGCUAUGUGGUUUUGUGAAAAUUUGAGAUCUUAU
rnacentral:lncRNA from 1 species